UCCACUCCCUUUGAGGAGCUGCAGCCGCCAUGAGGCCCCCCCCAGCUCCUCUGCUCUGGGCUGAACAAACACAGGGACCUCAGCUGCUCUUCAUGCGUCUUGCCCUCUAUACCCUUCCCUAUCUUUGUAGUACUCCUUUGAACAGUCUCUAGUCUUAUGUCUUCCUUAUACUGUGGCACCCAACCCUGCACCUAGUGCUGGAGGAGCAGCUGCGCAGCACAGAGGGCAGCCUCUCUCCUCGCCUGGAGCAGUGCUGGUGCACCCCCAGGAACUCAGAACUUUGUAUCCUGGCAGCAGCUAUUAGGAAUGGGCAGGCUCAUUUCAUUGAUUGUGCUGUGAGAAGGUUGUUCAGGCUCAUAUGGAGCACAAAGAGGCAGAACCACUUGCAACUAGGACCAUGAUGACUUAUAUCUGCAGCUGACAGUGGAAAAGGACAGUUUCUCAGAGGUCUGGUAGUCACUGCACAAAUGAAGAAAUGUCUACAUGUACAGAUGUCUGAAUUUCUCCAUAUGUAGACAUGGUUGGGCACUUUUUGCUGGUAGCAUUCUAUUUUUCUUACAUAUAAAGUCUAUCUUGUCAAGAAAAUGCCCGCUUUUUGGUACCUACCCUCCCUUUGUUAUAUCUGCUUUCUUUUUAUAAGUUUAAUGUCAACCAAUACAUUAAAUCCUUACUCUUUUUUUUAACUCAAUCUGUAUUUAAAGAAAGCUUGAAGAUUUGACCCAUUCUUCCCAAUUCAACACUCACAAAAAUCAAAGAGAAAGCUCCUUAUAUUGUAAGAAACAAAUUAAGCUGAUAGUAUUCUGAAGUCAUGUUUGAUGUAUAUGUAAAAAAAUAAAGAUAAAAAAUACAAAACAGUGAUAUGUGAAAUGGUAUAUGCUAAAAUACUUGAAGGUUUUUACAAUUACAAUUCCUUCACAGCUUAUUUUAGUGUAUAUGUCCUACAGAAUAAAUGCUGAACCUCUUCCAUCAACUAGACCAUGAACAAGUACCUCAAAAUUGCAUGCAGUCUGUAACAAUCAGGUUCUCAUUUGUGAAGCAUUCAUACAGGUACACCAUACAGAAAUUAUUUAACAACUACAACACCGGUGGGAAAGCUACACGUUACUGGAAAAUGUCCUUCUAAGUACACUUGAGAGAAUAUAAUCCCUGUUGCUCUCUUCUUCAUGUGGUUAACUGUGUAGCUCAACUGAAUACACAUAUGCAUGCAACUGCUGACAGUGCCAUACGCUUGUUCUACCAGAGUAAAAUUCAGCUCUGCUCAGAGAGCCUGUAUGCAGGUUAUUCACUGUAUAAACUUCUAGUGGUUUGCAGAUAUAAUAUGCACAAGUCCUUUAUUUCUGCUUCCAAAAAGCUGUUGACACCUGUGGUGAUAGGGGAAACACU
ensembl:lncRNA